GUGGCCUAUCGAUCCUUU
rnacentral:snRNA from 1 species